rnacentral:rRNA from 1 species
UACGGAGGGUGCAAGCAUUGAUCGGAAUUACUGGGCGUAAAGGGCGCGUAGGCGGUUUAGAAAGUCAGAUGUGAAAUUCCGGGGCUCAACCCCGGAGCUGCAUUUGAAACUCCUAAACUAGAGUGCAGUUAGGGAAAACGGAAUUCCACGUGUAGCGGUGAAAUGCGUAGAUAUGUGGAAGAACACCGGUGGUGAAGACGGUUUUCUGGGCUGUAACUGACGCUGAGGCGCGAAAGCUAGGGGAGCAAACAGG